AUGUGAAAGUAUUGACAUAUUUUGAAGAUGAUGUUCUCAAUAUCGACAUCUAGUGUGUCUGCCCCGUAAUGAACACAAUUGUUCAAGACGUGUGCUGGGCAUCCCACACCGAUUCAAGACUUCCUUCUUCAUCACGCCGGAUUCCCCCGAACAUUGUAUUGCAGUUGUCACCUGUAAAUGCAAUACAUUUGGAAAAAAUCCCAUUAUUUUCCAGUGUUUCUUUGAUGUAUUGCGCGAUCGUAUCAGCUGUCUCAUUUGGAGUGUUUUUAACUUCGACUAAUUUACUUUGCAUGCCACCAUUCUUCCAAUCAAAAUACUGAAUAAGCAGAGGGACUAUUUUCACAGCACCGUGAUUGCUCCCAUCAGUAGAAACACCACAGUAAGAAUCGUCUGUGGCCACAACCCUUGGAAAGGGCUUUCUGAAAGCAGAACACCUGUGCAUACAAAUCCAGAGCAAAGAGUACAGUGACUACUCAAGCAGAGAGAAGAUGGAGGUUCACCUGGCUCCAGGUACUGAUAGUGGACCAGUGGAUAGAGACCGGCGGAACCAUGAAGGCUGCUAUCAAACUGGUGGAGCGGCAGGGAGCUACUGUUGUAGGUGUUGCUGCUGUGGCCAUUGAGAACAGCGAGGGAGGGAAGUGGAUCAAGGAGAAAUACAAGCUCUCACUGCAUCCCGGAGGAACUACAGAUUCAAAUUAACAAACAAUAUCUCGACUCCUUCCAAGAGCUUUGCCAGUUAAAUGCUCAAACUCAAUGUCAUGCAGUUCCGAGCAGGGUAGGCAAUCUCUAACUGUGCUGACCAGGAUUCUGUUACUCUAGUAUGGUGCUUUGUCCAAGAAGUCACUAAGAUCAUGUAUUGCCUUGGAGUGGUGAAUGCAUUCAAUUAUUUUGGCUUCUAUACAAGCAUAUUGUGUAUAUAUAGUACCUAGUGAAAGUCUAAACAAAUUCAAUAUAAAAAUGGAUUAACAUUUUUUAUUCUACAGAUCCACAUAUUCAAAGUGAAAGAAAUUACAGCUGUGAAUCAUUUUGAAUAAUAUUCUACCAACUUUGUACAACUCUUAGGGCAACAUACACGCCAGUUUAUUAGGUACACUACCCUGUUCACAAAAAUGGUGUAGUCCUACAGAUAGUGAGUCACGUGGCCAUGGCUUGCUAUAUAAAGCAGGCAGACAGGCAUUCAGUUACUGUUAGAUUGAAAGUUAGAAUGGGCACAAUGAGUGACCUAAGCGACUUUGAGCGUAGCAUGAUUGUCGGUGCCAGGCGGGCCGGUUCCAGUAUCUCAGAAACGACAGGCCUCUUGGGCUUUUCGUGUACAACAGUGUCUAGACUUUACCGAGAAUGGUGCGAAAAAAAUUAUAAAAAAAACAAUUGUGACAGUCCUGUGGGCGAAAACAGCUUGUUGAUGAGAGGUCAAAGAAGAAACUACAGGUUUGUGGUGGCAGCAUCAUGUUAUGGGUAUGCUUGUCACCAGCAGGGACUGGGGAUAGGAGGAAAAUAAAAAUGUAUGGAGCAUAACCCAGGUAAAAAGUUAUAGGAAAUCCCACCUCAGUCUUCUGAAAACCUAACCCUGGGAUAGAUGUCUUAAAUUCAACAACAAUUACAUCUUUGGCAUUACAAUUUGGGUAUCAGAAUGGCUUUCCAGGUGCUGAGUGUUCCUAAAUAGUCCAUCAAUGAUUCCCAACCAAAUGUACUGAGCUUGAGCAAUUUUGACAAAAACAAUGGAUAUACAGUAUGUUGCCCUAAGAGUUGUGUAAGGUUGAUAGAAUCUUAUUAAAAAUGAUUCACAGGUGCUUCCAUCAAGUAUUAACUCUGGGGUGUGAAGACAUACAGUAUGCAAUCAAUGCAUCCUCAUUUUGUAU